rnacentral:rRNA from 1 species
AUUGAACGCUGGCGGCAGGCCUAACACAUGCAAGUCGAACGAGUGGCGGACGGGUGAGUAAUGUCUGGGAAACUGCCUGAUGGAGGGGGAUAAAUACUGGAAACGGUAGCUACUACCGCAUACCAUCAGAUGUGCCCAGAUGGGAGUAGCUGGUUGGUGGGGUAACGGCUCACCAAGGCGACGAUCCCUAGCUGGUCUGAGAGGAUGACCAGCCACACGGGAACUGAGACACGGCCCAGACUCCUACGGGAGGCAGCAGUGGGGAAUAUUGGACAAUGGGCGAAACCCUGAUCCAGCCAUCCCGCGUGUAUGAUGAAGGCCUUCGGGUUGUAAAGUACUUUUGGCAGGGAAGCGUUACCUGCAGAAUAAGCACCGGCUAACUCCGUGCCAGCAGCCGCGGUAAUAC